UGUAUAGCUUUAGCAUAAUUGACUGAGCGAAGUGAGGUCUCUGAGUCUACUUGAGGGAAAUUGCACUUGUCCAUCUGUCCGUCUGUCAGAGCCUUAUAAUUUCUGAAUUACUGAACGUAAUUACUUCAAAUUUGAACACAAUAUGUAAACUGAUAGCCUUCAGCCGAAUAUUGCAU